rnacentral:rRNA from 1 species
CGGUUGAUCUGCAGACCCGACUGCUUUCAGAGUGAGACUAGUCAUGCGAGUCCACGUAGCAAUACGUGGCACACGGCUCAGUAACACGUAGUCAACAUAACCAAAGGACGUGGAUAAAGCUCGGGAAACUGAGGCUAAAUCGCGAUAAACCAAGAUACCUGGAAUGGUUUUUGAUCAAAAUCUAUAUGGCCUUUGGAUUGGACUGCGUCCGAUCAGGCUGUUGGUGAGGUAAUGGCCCACCAAACCUAUAACCGGUACGGGCUCUGAGAGGAGGAGCCCGGAGAUGGGUGCUGAGAAAAGGACCCAGGCCCUAUGGGGCGCAGCAGGCGAGAAAACUUUGCAAUGUGCGAAAGCACGACAAGGUUAAUCCGAGUGGUUUCUGCUAAAGGAACCUUUUGACAGUCCUAGAAACACUGUUGAAUAAGGGGUGGGCAAGUUCUGGUGUCAGCCGCCGCGGUAAAACCAGCACCUCAAGUGGUCAGGAUGAUUAUUGGGCCUAAAGCAUCCGUAGCCGGCUCUGUAAGUUUUCGGUUAAAUCUGUACGCUCAACGUACAGGCUGCUGGGAAUACUGCAGGUCUAGGGAGUGGGAGAGAUAGACGGUAUUUGGGAGGAAGUGGUAAAAAUAUUUGAUCUCUCGAUGACCACCUGCAACAAGGCGUUGGAUCAGAACCCGUCCCCAGGUGAGGGAUGAAAGCAGGGGGACCAAACCGGA